rnacentral:rRNA from 1 species
UUGGAGGGCAAGUCUGGUGCCAGCAGCCGCGGUAAUUCCAGCUCCAAUAGCGUAUAUUAAAGUUGUUGCAGUUAAAAAGCUCGUAGUUGAAUUUCGGGGUCAGCAGGUUGGUCGUGCCUCUGGUACGCACUGGUUUCGCUGAUUCCUCCUUUCUGAAGAACUGUAAUGUCAUUAAUUUGGUGUUGCAGGGAAACAGGACUGUUACUUUGAAAAAAUUAGAGUGUUUAAAGCAAGCUAACGCUUGAAUACAUUAGCAUGGAAUAAUGAAAUAGGACGUUUGAUCCUAUUUUGUUGGUUUCUAGGAUUGACGUAAUGAUUAAUAGGGAUAGUUGGGGGCAUUAGUAUUCAAUUGUCAGAGGUGAAAUUCUUGGAUUUAUUGAAGACUAACUACUGCGAAAGCAUUUGCCAAGGAUGUUUUCAUUAAUCAAGAACGAAAGUUAGGGGAUCGAAGACGAUCAGAUACCGUCGUAGUCUUAACCAUAAACUAUGCCGACUAGGGAUCGGAUGAUGUUAAAUUUUUUAAUGACUCAUUCGGCGCCUUACGGGAAA